AGAAUCAACGCUGGCGGCGUGCCUCAGACAUGCAAGUCGAACGAUUAAACUUUCCUUCGGGAAAGAUAUAAAGUGGCGCACGGGUGAGUAACACGUAAGUAAUCUACCUUCGAGUGGGGAAUAACGUCCGGAAACGGACGCUAAUACCGCAUAAUGCAGCGGCAUCGCAAGAUGACAGUUGUAAAGGAAUUUAUUCGCUUGAAGAGGAGCUUGCGGCAGAUUAGCUUGUUAGGUAAGGUAACGGCUUACCAAGGCUACGGAUCUGUAACCGGUCUAAGAGGACGGUCGGUCACACUGACACUGAAUAACGGGUCAGACUCCUACGGGAGGCAGCAGUCGGGAAUUUGGGCAAUGGGCGAAAGCCGUGAACCCGAGACAACGGCCGACGUGAAGGAUGAAGUAUUCGGUACGUAACUGAAGAAUAGGAAGAAUAAAUGAAGUACUAUUUA
rnacentral:rRNA from 1 species